UACAUCAUAUAAUAAGGUAUGAUGGUUGGCGAUUGUUGUCAAGAGGUCAGCAGUAUAUUCACAAGGAAUAUUCAG
rnacentral:sRNA from 12 species